UUAAACGACUCUCGGCAACGGAUAUCUCGGCUCUCGCAUCGAUGAAGAACGUAGCGAAAUGCGAUACUUGGUGUGAAUUGCAGAAUCCCGUGAACCAUCGAGUCUUUGAACGCAAGUUGCGCCCGAAGCCUUCGGGCCGAGGGCACGUCUGCCUGGGCGUCACGC
rnacentral:rRNA from 2 species